GGGAUAAUAGUAUAGUGGUUAGUACUUCUCGUUGUGGCCAAGACACAAUGAUCCGAGAGGACCCAGGUUCGAUUCCUGGUUAUCCCA